rnacentral:misc_RNA from 1 species
AAUCGAUUCAAACAUAUAAAAAUCCAAAAGGUAAUCUCUGAGUUCUAUCGAUGAAUAUAUAUGUAUUUCAAAAGCAUCGAUAAAAGUAAAUAUCAUAUGGCCACAAAAUCAUCUCAAAUCGUAUAAUCACGUUAUUAUUUAUGCAAUAUAUAUAUUUUAUGCACGCUUCAUAACCGGCGAAAUGCAACGAAUUUUACAGAAAACUCGUAGCUACUGCACAGUUCUAAAGGAAGUGAAUAAAAAUCAAAAAAUUGACAAACCGAAGGAAAAUAAGUUGAACUUUACGGAACUAAAAUAUCCAUCAAAAGUUCCAAGUAAACCAAUAAAACAAAGUUUUCCAACAGGUGAAAAACCUGUAAUAGACAACGCAACUAUACAACUCCUUGAGCGCCUUGCUUUGGUUAAUUUAGAAAGUAAGGAAGCUUUAAGUACAUUGGAAAAAAGUAUUGAAUUUGCUGAAAAAAUUUCACACAUUGAUACAACCAACGUAUUGCCAUUAUAUACCGUUUUGGAGGAUCAAAACUUAUAUUUACGCGAAGAUUCCGUAACAGAAGGAAACUGCAGAGAAGAUAUCCUACGUGGUGCAAAAGUUACUGAGGAAGAUUAUUUUGUCUCUCCACCCGGCAAUAUUCCACUACAACAAAAAGAAAAGGAUUUUACUGAUAAUUAAACGCGGCCAAUAUGAAGCAGUUGAAACAAGUUAUUGAGGCUUUACAUUCAUCUCAAUAUUUAAGUGCUUCUAUUGGCUCUAAUGGAUCAAUAAACAACUGUAAGUUGUUAGAAAAUGGUAUUAAAUAUAGUGAGCAACUGUUGCUCCAUUGGCGUAGGACACAUUCAUUAGAUAAGGAAGUACGCAAUAGUUUCAUCGAUAUCAUUGAAGACGAUGCCUUAGUUGACUCUAAUAAUAGAUCUAAUUUUAUAUUUUCGAAACAAUUUCAUGACGGCAUUAGACAUUUAUGUAGUAAAUCGGCAAAUCAACAAUAUCCCGCAGUUUGGAAAACGGUACAAAAAGUACAUGCUAAUCAUUUAAAUGAAGUAGCCUCAAACCAUUUUGAUAUUUCUACAACGAGAAUUCGUACAUACUUAUUCACAUAUUAUUUAACUCAUCCGGCGAAAGGUGUUAGUGAUUUUUUUAAAGCUCAACGUGAAUGCAAAAUCUGGUGGAUGCGCUUUAGUACUGAUCCCAGCAAAUACUAUUUAGAUCCAUAUAAAUUUAGUGACACUUCGGAGUCAACAGUACCUCCUGGCACCCAAUCGAUAACAAUUAAAUCAAAAUUACCCUAUGCUACACUAGAUGUGGAGUCAAUAACAUUAGUUCCUCUAUUAAAAACGCAUCUGGAUGAAAAAAUAAAUGCAUUUUUAUCAAAUAAUUCAAUUGGUGAAGAUAUCGCACCUGCCGUUAUACGGUCAGUUAUUGAUCUGCAGGCUGCAACAAGUGCGGUUCUCUUCGAUAGCGUGGAUAACGAACAUGAAAGUACUUUGUUGCUUAAUAGAAAAUUAGCUCCUUAUCAAUGUGUCGUAGCUUGCUGUCAUCAAGGUAACAAAUUGAACGACUUGGAAGACCUUUGUUUGCAUAUAAGUAACGUGCUAUUGCGGUCCGGUCUACGUUUGAAAUCAGAAAAUAUGAUUUUUACCCAAUGCUUCAAUAAAAUGGAAGAAGAACUUUAUAAAUGUGAUAGCCUAGGCAUACCAUAUGCAGUGAUCGUCAACGAAAGCACCCUUCUGAAUGGCCUAUUGAAACUACGUAGUCGUGAUGCCACCUUAGAGGAAACGAUACAUAUUAGCGAUUUGCCAAAUUAUUUAUUACAAAUAUUUUCUAACUAAAUAAAGUAAGA